rnacentral:tRNA from 2 species
GCGCCCGUAGCUCAGCUGGAUAGAGCGUUGGCCUCCGGAGCCAAAGGCCGCAGGUUCGAAUCCUGCCGGGCGCACCA